ACGCCGGCGGUGUGCCUAAUACAUGCAAGUCGAGCGCACUGGCCCAACAGAAAUGACGUGCUUACACUGAUUUGACGUUGGAUUCCCAGUGAGCGGCGGACGGGUGAGUAACACGUGGGCAACCUGCCCCAAAGCGGGGGAUAACAUUUGGAAACAGGUGCUAAUACCGCAUAACUUGGAAAACCACAUGGUUUUCCAAUAAAAGAUGGUUUCGGCUAUCACUUUGGGAUGGGCCCGCGGUGCAUUAGCUAGUUGGUAAGGUAACGGCUUACCAAGGCGAUGAUGCAUAGCCGAGUUGAGAGACUGAUCGGCCACAAUGGAACUGAGACACGGUCCAUACUCCUACGGGAGGCAGCAGUAGGGAAUCUUCCACAAUGGGCGCAAGCCUGAUGGAGCAACACCGCGUGAGUGAAGAAGGGUUUCGGCUCGUAAAACUCUGUUGUUGGAGAAGAACGUGCGUAAGAGUAACUGUUUACGCAGUGACGGUAUCCAACCAGAAAGUCACGGCUAACUACGUGCCAGCAGCCGCGGUAAUACGUAGGUGGCAAGCGUUAUCCGGAUUUAUUGGGCGUAAAGCGAGCGCAGGCGGUUGCUUAGGUCUGAUGUGAAAGCCUUCGGCUUAACCGAAGAAGUGCAUCGGAAACCGGGCGACUUGAGUGCAGAAGAGGACAGUGGAACUCCAUGUGUAGCGGUGGAAUGCGUAGAUAUAUGGAAGAACACCAGUGGCGAAGGCGGCUGUCUGGUCUGCAACUGACGCUGAGGCUCGAAAGCAUGGGUAGCGAACAGGAUUAGAUACCCUGGUAGUCCAUGCCGUAAACGAUGAGUGCUAGGUGUUGGAGGGUUUCCGCCCUUCAGUGCCGAAGCUAACGCAUUAAGCACUCCGCCUGGGGAGUACGACCGCAAGGUUGAAACUCAAAGGAAUUGACGG
rnacentral:rRNA from 1 species